rnacentral:rRNA from 1 species
AUUGAACGCUGGCGGCAUGCCUUACACAUGCAAGUCGAACGGCAGCACGGGAGCAAUCCUGGUGGCGAGUGGCGAACGGGUGAGUAAUAUAUCGGAACGUGCCCAGUCGUGGGGAUAACGUAGCGAAAGCUACGCUAAUACCGCAUACGAUCUACGGAUGAAAGCGGGGGAUCGCAAGACCUCGCGCGAUUGGAGCGGCCGAUAUCAGAUUAGGUAGUUGGUGAGGUAAAGGCUCACCAAGCCGACGAUCUGUAGCUGGUCUGAGAGGACGACCAGCCACACUGGGACUGAGACACGGCCCAGACUCCUACGGGAGGCAGCAGUGGGGAAUUUUGGACAAUGGACGCAAGUCUGAUCCAGCCAUUCCGCGUGCAGGAUGAAGGCCCUCGGGUUGUAAACUGCUUUUGUACGGAACGAAAGGUUUCUAUUAAUACUAGGAGCUCAUGACGGUACCGUAAGAAUAAGCACCGGCUAACUACGUGCCAG